rnacentral:rRNA from 1 species
GACGAACGCUGGCGGCGUGCUUAACACAUGCAAGUCGAACGGAAAGGCCCUGCUUUUGUGGGGUGCUCGAGUGGCGAACGGGUGAGUAACACGUGAGUAACCUGCCCUUGACUUUGGGAUAACUUCAGGAAACUGGGGCUAAUACCGGAUAGGAGCUCCUGCUGCAUGGUGGGGGUUGGAAAGUUUCGGCGGUUGGGGAUGGACUCGCGGCUUAUCAGCUUGUUGGUGGGGUAGUGGCUUACCAAGGCUUUGACGGGUAGCCGGCCUGAGAGGUUGACCGGCCACAUUGGGACUGAGAUACGGCCCAGACUCCUACGGGAGGCAGCAGUGGGGAAUAUUGCACAAUGGGCGGAAGCCUGAUGCAGCAACGCCGCGUGCGGGAUGACGGCCUGCGGGUUGUAAACCGCUUUCGCCUGUGACGAAGCGUGAGUGACGGUAAUGGGUAAAGAAGCACCGGCUAACUACGUG